rnacentral:rRNA from 1 species
GACGAACGCUGGCGGCGUGCUUAACACAUGCAAGUCGAACGAAGUGGCGAACGGGUGAGUAACGCGUAAUCAACCUGCCCUUCAGAGGGGGAUAACAGUUGGAAACGACUGCUAAUACCGCAUACUGAAGGAGGGGAUUGCGUCGGAUUAGCUAGUUGGAGGGGUAACUGCCCACCAAGGCGAUGAUCAGUAGCCGGUCUGGGGGGAUGGACGGCCACAUUGGGACUGGGGCACGGCCCAGACUCCUACGGGAGGGAGCAGUGGGGAAUCUUCCGAAAUGGGGGGAAGUCUGGCGGAGCAACGCCGGGUGAGUGAUGACGGCCUUCGGGUUGUAAAACUCUGUUAAUCGGGACGCGGUACCGGAAUAGAAAGCCACGGCUAACUACGUGCCAGCAGCCGCGGUAAUAC